rnacentral:rRNA from 1 species
GUGUCCAGGGGAAGGUUCGUCCGCCCUGGGUGAGUCGGGACCUAAGCUGAUGCCGAAAGGCGUAGGUGAUGGACAACAGGUUGAUAUUCCUGUACUACCGAUAACCGUUUGAGAGAAGGGAUGACACAGUAGGAUAAGCUAAGCACACUGUUGGUUAUGUGUGCCCAAGCAUUGAGGCAGUCAAAGUAGGCAAAUCCGCUUUGAUAAUGCUGGGAUGUGAUGGGGAGCGAAAUUUAGUAGCGAAGUAGCUGAUUUCACACUGUCAAGAAAAGUCUCUAUCGAGGUUAAAGGUACCCGUACCGCAAACCGACACAGGUGGGUGAGGAGAGUAUCCUAAGGCCAGCGAGAGAACUGUUGUUAAGGAACUCGGCAAAAUGACCCCGUAACUUAGGGAUAAGGGGUGCCACCAUCAGGUGGCCGCAGAGAAUAGGCCCAAGCGACUGUUUACCAAAAACAUAGGUUUCUGCUAAGUCGCAAGACGAUGUAUAGGAGCUGACGCCUGCCCGGUGCUGGAAGGUUAAGGGGAUCUGUUAGAG